GAUCUCGUCGUGACAUCAGGCCUCCGACGUCUUCGAGUCGGCGCUCACAUGAGCUUAAAUGCACUAGCAGUCAUAUAGUAAUUAUUUAAAGCCACCGAAACGAUGAUGAGAAACACAAGUUUUUAAGUAAAAUUGUUGACUUAAAACUAAUCGACAUUACUUUGUUUUGAUUACAGUUUAUUGUAAAAUACUGUAACUUAUCUAUGAUGAAAAUAUAUUUUUAAAAUGUAUUAUUUUUGUGUAGGAAUGUUUUAACUACUAAAUUGUUGUUGUUAAUGUAUCAAAAUUAUAUACCGAAGUGAUUGUAAAAAAAAUAAAUAAUUAACCUUCAUAACUCAAA